GUUGGGCAUUUAAUGUGUUCUUUUCAUUUCCUUCCCUAAUUAUCUAAUGGCUAUUUACAAAGUCCUUUUCUAAAAACAGGUUUUCCAUUUCUACACAUGUGUCAGGGAAUUCAAUACAACUAAUGACUGAAAGGAAAUAGGAAAUCAGCCAAAAUAUUUUUAAGAAUCACAAAAAUAAGACUUAAUUGAAGUUUCCAUUAUUUAAAGAAAUUUGUGGAAAACUGAGUGGAAGAUUUUGAGGGAUUUACUCAGAAUGAGUUUGUAGUGCACUCUUCAUGUGCCAGAUUAUGGGCAUGUGAGUAGAGGAUUUCCCCACCGAAAGACACGCUGCGGAGUAUAAUUACACAGGUAAGAAAGAACAUGUUAUUUAUUAUGUGUAAAAUACAUACAUGUAAUGUCAAUCAAGGUAAUUUGAACCCAAAUCUGACGUCUCAUUUUAUAUAAAUAAAUUGUACCAGUCAGUAUAACUUGGACCCAGGUCUGACAGCUCGUUAUUCUCAGCAGCGGCUCUGUGCUGUCCCUCACCAGCGCGGGGACCAGUUUCUGCCCAGCCCCGCGCCGUCUGUGCUGGUGAAGGAAGCGUCAACGGAUGCUUCAUGUCUGUCCCUGUACGUGUUUUCUGGACGUUCUUUUCUUCAAUACACACUUUAAUUUCUCUGUUUAGUGACCUGGCUCCCACAUCUGGGACAACCUGGUCCCUUUUAUCCACAGCUCUCUGUUUCCCACCCUCCGCCAGCGCUUGCAGAGGAGCCCGGGGUCGUCGGAGGGGCGCGCGGCCGGCCGGACUGGGGAAUCCAGGGCGGCUGCCCGGGAGCUUUCCUCCGUCCUAGCCGGGAUUUCCUUUUCCUCUUUCUCCCGUAGCCCACCCCAUGGGCCGACACAGCGGAAGCAGCAGGUCCGCCAGACACUUGAGCCCGUCCGGGACAAGGAGCCAGGGACCCCCCAGCAGCUCGCCGGUUACAGGGAGGGACUGAGACCCCGGGACCCUGUCCGUAGCUCGUGUCCCCCGUUCUCAGAGUUCUGUCUGGAGGAAAACUGCGAAGACCCUCCCUGGGGGGAGAUGCUUCCCGCCCGUCAGAAUGCAGCUCGCUACGAGCAGAGCAGGUUUUCGUCGGCUGCUGAGUUACCGUCCGACAGCACCGCGCGC